GUGUAGGAACAUAUAGUGUGUGUGUGUAUAUAGUGUGUGUACCUGGUCCAGGUGUGUGUGUGUGUAUAUAGUGUGUGUACCUGGUCCAGGUGUGUGUGUGUGUGUAUAUAUAGUGUGUGUACCUGGUCCAGGUGUGUGUGUAUAUAGUGUGUGUACCUGGUCCAGGUGUGUGUGUGUGUAUAUAUAGUGUGUGUACCUGGUCCAGGUGUGUGUGUGUGUGUGUAUAUAGUGUGUGUACCUGGUCCAGGUGUGUGUGUAUAUAGUGUGUGUACCUGGUCCAGGUGUGUGUGUGUAUAUAGUGUGUGUACCUGGUCCAGGUGUGUGUGUGUAUAUAGUGUGUGUACCUGGUCCAGGUGUGUGUGUGUGUAUAUAUAGUGUGUGUACCUGGUCCAGGUGUGUGUGUAUAUAGUGUGUGUACCUGGUCCAGGUGUGUGUGUAUAUAGUGUGUGUACCUGGUCCAGAGUGGUCUGAGUGACGGAGUAGUCCUCGAUCCUGAGCGUCUCUUUAUUUUUGGCCAGAAUGGAGAAGAUGUG